rnacentral:misc_RNA from 1 species
CAAACAGUAGAUCAUUCUUUUUGAACUCAACAGAAGCAAGUGAAGAAAUUUUGUAUUAGACGUAUGAAAAGGUCUAGCAUAUGGAUUAUGGAUGUAGGCUUUGCUCCCCAUCUGGCAGGCAUGAUCACAUCCCAAUAAUCAUAAACCGACAACUCUAUUUUAUUAAUUUAUUUAUUUAUUUUACACUUUUAUAAGGAUUGAUCUUUCAUUUCUUUCAAUUGAUGCAAAAUAGUUGCAUAUAUGCAGAACAUAAUUCUUUUUUACCAUAAAGUGUUGUGAUAUAUUUGAAUUGUAUAGAUGUUUUUAAG